UUAAUAAAAUAAAUAAUUAAAAACUGAAAAUUCAUACCCGCGGGGUCUAGUAAUCUAUUAAAAGUAAUACUGACAAGGGAGUGGACUCAGUCAAUCAAUCAACAAGAUGAAGCCCAUGAGCAACAAGGAUGUCAUCAAGCCCAAUGUCUAUGUUCUGUCUCCAUCGGUUUUGUGCUCACUCUCUAUUACAAUUUCUACAAAGAGAAGCAACGAGGAAGAUGCCUUUACAGCUGUAUAACAGAUUUGAUGCUAUUCAACCUAAAGACUAGACACCUGUCAAGUUUGUAUUGUGUAAAGGUCUCUCUAUAUAUAGUCAUAAGCAUCUCUUGUAAUAGGCAUCCAAAAUAGUCAUAAUAAGAAAGGUAUUAUUCAGCAGAUUCUGCUAUGUUUUCGUGUUCUUAUUAUGGUAUCAGAGCCAUAAACCUUAACAUGUGUUACUAUGGCCGAUUCUCCAGAAACUUAUAUUUUUCUUUCUAGUGUUCAUGUUGCAAGUUAUGUUACCUUGAAGUUCAAUGAUUCCAAAUAUCUUUUGUGGAGUCACUCCUUAGCAGUCAGAAGCUCCUUGAUUUCAUCAAUGGAAGAUAUCCAGCUCCUCCUUUAGUUGUUGAACGUCGUGUUGAUGAGGUUGUUCAAGCGGUUCCAAAUCCAGCGCAUGAAGCGUGGUUCUGUACGGACCAGUUGUGAAAUCGUGGAUAUUUGGCACGUUGUCUGAAGAAGCGCUUGGUGGUGUGUGUGCUCUAAACACCUCUUCUGAGGUAUGGAUGUCUCUAGCCAACACGUACAAUCGAAGCUCUAUUGGGAGAGAGUUUGAGCUCAAACGAAAGCUAUACCUUUUCACAAAACAGGGUAAAACCUUCUCCGUCUAUGCUCGUGACUACUCUUCCAUCUGUGACCAGUUGAGCUCUAUUGGCAAACCCAUUGAUGAGUCUAUGAAGAUCUGUGGCUUUCUGAAUGGUCUUGGUCGUGAUUAUGACCCUAUCUCCACGGUUAUACAGAGCUCGAUGUCUCGUAACACCAUCUUUCACCGAUGUCUUGUAUGACAUACAAGGAUACGAUGCACGUUUUCAAGCGUAUGAAGCUGCUUCUUUUGCUCAGGACAGGGCGUUUCAAAGUGCUUCUGCAAACUCACACGAAGCUCAUCAAACAGCCCAGCACAACAACAGAGGAAGAGGGAUUGUUGUUUUGGCUCAAACAGAGGAAGAGGAGGUUACUCUUCUCGUGGUCGUGGGUUUCAUCAGCAAACUACAGCUACUGCUGGCAACAACACUCGCCCUACAUGUUAGAUUUGUGGCAGAGUGGUCAUUCAGCUUUGAAGUGUUGGAAUCGUUUUGACAACAACUAUCAAAGCAACGAUGUUCCCGAAGCAUUGGCAGCUUUACAGACAACAGAUGCAACAUGAAAUGAGUGGUAUCUUUACUCUGGUGCUACAAGUCACAUUACUUCCAACAAGGACAGUCUGUUCCAUACCACUGCUUGGAGUCUAACAUGGUAGCAGAUGGUCUACAUUCUGGAUCUCAAAACAAUGAAGGUCCUGACAAACGGUCCAAGGCAUGAGGGUCUUUACGUGUUGGAGAAUCAGGAUUUCAAAGCAUUCUACUCUACAAGACAACAAGCUGUUGAUGAGUUGGUUUGGCAUCAUCAGUUGGGACAUGCCAAUCCUCUGGUUCUUCAACAACUGCAACGUAGUUUUUUUUAUCUCAAUGAGAAAAAGCUCAAAUAAGCUCGUUUGUGAGCCGUGUCAAAUGGACAAAAGUCUUAGUCUUCCUUUCUCAGUUUCAGAGUCAUUCACUGUAGAACCACUAGCCAAGAUUCAUUGUGAUCUUUGGGGGCCUUCUCCUAUAGAGUUUGUACAAGGUUUCAGAUACUAUGUGGUGGUUAUAGAUGCUUUUUCAAGAUUUAGUUGGUUUUAUCCUCUCAGAAUAAAGUCUGAUUUCUAUGAAAUAUUUUGUUGUUUCAGAAUCUUGUGGAGAAUCCGUUCAACAAAAAUAUCAAAGUGUUUCAGAGUGAUAGGGGUGGUGAAUUUGUGAGUAAUAAGUUCAAGAAUCAUCUGCA